AACGAACGCUGGCGGCGCGCCUAAUACAUGCAAGUCGAGCGAGAAGACGUAGCAAUACGUUUGUAAAGCGGCGAACGGGUGAGGAAUACAUGGGUAACCUACCCUCGAGUGGGGAAUAACUAGCCGAAAGGUUAGCUAAUACCGCGUACGCUCCUUGGACUUCGGUUCAGGGAGGAAAGCGAUACCGUGGGUAUCGCGCUCUUGGAUGGGCUCAUGUCCUAUCAGCUUGUUGGUGAGGAACGGCUCACCAAGGCUUCGACGGGUAGCUGGUCUGAGAGGACGAUCAGCCACACUGGCAUUGCGACACGGGCCAGACUCCUACGGGAGGCAGCAGUAAGGAAUAUUGCGCAAUGGGCGAAAGCCUGACGCAGCGACGCCGCGUGGGGGAUGAAGGUCUUCGGAUUGUAAACCCCUUUCGGGAGGGAAGAUGGAACGAGCAAUCGUUCGGACGGUACCUCCAGAAGCAGCCACGGCUAACUUCGUGCCA
rnacentral:rRNA from 1 species